rnacentral:rRNA from 1 species
GACGAACGCUGGCGGCGUGCUUAACACAUGCAAGUCGAACGGAGUGGCGAAAGGUUGAGUAACACGUGGGUGAUUUGCCCUGCACUUCGGGAUAAUCCAGGGAAACUGGGUCUAAUACCGGAUAGUGCAAGAUGAGGUCGCGGCUUAUCAGCGUGUUGGGGGGGUAAUGGCCUACCAAGGCGUCGACGGGUGGCCGGCGUGAGAGGGUGUACGGCCACGUUGGGGCUGGGAUACGGCGCAGACACCUACGGGGGGCAGCAGUGGGGAAUAUAGCACAAUGGGCGGAAGAGUGAGGCAGAGACGCCGCGUGGGGGAGGUAGGCCUUCGGGUUGUAAACUCCUUUCGACAGAGACGCGGUACCUGUAUAAGAAGCACCGGCUAACUACGUGCCAGCAGCCGCGGUAAUAC